GACAGAGGUGCCGAGCGUUAGGCGGAAUCACUGGGCUUAAAGCGUGUGUAGGCGGAUCUGUAAGUACCUUGUGAAAUCCCACGGCUCAACCGUGGAACUGCUGGGUAUACUGCGGAUCUUGAGCCACCUAGGGGCGAGCGGAACAAGUGGUGGAGCGGUGAAAUGCGUAGAUAUCACUUGGAACGCCAAUGGUGAAAACAGCUCGCUGGGGGUGUGCUGACGCUGAGACACGAAAGCCAGGGGAGCAAACGGG
rnacentral:rRNA from 1 species